GCUAUACUUCUCUCCUUUGGCUUGUAAGAGUAUCUUUUAAACUGUCAGAGGUGCUCAUGGGUGGCCCAAGAACAAGGAAACUGAAGUGGCCUCACCAAGGGGGUCAGCCUCUGUUUCUGCUGAUGCUAUGUAAUACUGAGUGUGGAUCCUCUGCUCUGUGGGUGGUGCUCUGUGGCAACGGGCUGUCAGAGUGGACCAGUACUCUGAAGAGGAAAAAAUUAUCUGUGUGAAGAAACAUGGAUUCACUUCAAACCUGUCCUUUCCGAGCUACACUGAGUAAACUGGGACAGCUUCCGGUCCUCCAUCCAGGUCACAACCCCACCCCCACAGUCCUCUGGGUAAACUCUGGUAUGAAAAAUUCAUUUCGGAUUUGACCAAGGAGCUCAGAAGUUUAUGUGAUGGGGAGCAUAGACUAUAUCUUGGGAACAAUUAGGUCUUCAAGAGGUCUCCAUCCUCUGCCUACUUACAAACAGAACACAGCUCAGGUGUUCUGUCCUACACCGGGAGGAAGAAAUGCUACACAGAGAGGCUGAGAAGAAUCUGAACAAACAGGCCUUGCUGGAUUUCCCCUUCAGUUUAUUGCCAUUUGCUUGCACUUUUUGUCGAAUCACAUUUCUACAUGGUGUUAACCAAACAUAAAAUACAGUUUUCCCUGGGUCUUUGCAUCUUCAUUUCUGAAGGUUCCCCUGUCACAUAAAAUGUUGAUUAAAUAAAUUUGUUACAUUUUUCCCUUGCUAAUCUGUCUUUUGUUAUAGGAGAGUUGGCUGUGACCCUUGUGAUGAAUGAGAAGAGGUAUUACCUUUUCACCCCUACACUCCCAUGGGUAUGUCCAGGGUUACACACAAUUCCUCACAUGCUAACUAAGACACCAUCCCACAAGAAAGCCUAUCAGUAGACAAUUGCAUGACACUGACAUUAUUAUAAUUGGAAACUUAAAUCUGUUGUAUAUAUUAAAUUGUGUUAAAAUACAUAUAACAUAAAGUUUACCAUCUUAACCAUUUUAAAAUGAACAGUUUGGUGGCUGGGCGUGGUGGCUCAUGCCUGUAAUCCCAGCAUUCUGGGAGGCCGAGGUGGGCGGAUCACGAGGUCAGGAGAUCAAGACCAUUCUGUGAAUGGUGAAACCCUGUCUCUACUAAAAAUACAAAAAAUUAGCCUGGCGUGGUGGCAGGUGCCUCUAGUCCCAGCUACUCGGG
rnacentral:lncRNA from 10 species